rnacentral:rRNA from 1 species
UACGUAGGGCGCAAGCGUUGUCCGGAAUUAUUGGGCGUAAAGAGCUCGUAGGCGGUUUGUCGCGUCUGCUGUGAAAACCCGAGGCUCAACCUCGGGCCUGCAGUGGGUACGGGCAGACUAGAGUGCGGGAGGGGAGACUGGAAUUCCUGGUGUAGCGGUGGAAUGCGCAGAUAUCAGGAGGAACACCGAUGGCGAAGGCAGGUCUCUGGGCCGCAACUGACGCUGAGGAGCGAAAGCAUGGGGAGCAAACAGG